CGCAUAAUAGUUGAUCAGUUGGAUUUUGGCUAAACUUGAGAGAAUACAAAGAGAGAUUGAUAGAGAGCUUGAGAGAGUUGAGAGGAAACUUGUGUGUUUUCACAACAAUUCCAGAGAUUAGCAGCGAUUGUAUAAGUAAUUGAAGGUAUGUUCUACAACUUUAAUAUUAUAUAUGUGCAUGAGUAUCACGGCAAAAUUUCAUGUACUCUGUGAAAAUCAAAUUCGUUGAAC
rnacentral:lncRNA from 1 species